rnacentral:rRNA from 1 species
GGCGGCAGGCCUAACACAUGCAAGUCGAGCGGAUGAAGGGGGCUUGCUCCUGGAUUCAGCGGCGGACGGGUGAGUAAUGCCUAGGAAUCUGCCUGGUAGUGGGGGAUAACGUCCGGAAACGGGCGCUAAUACCGCAUACGUCCUGAGGGAGAAAGUGGGGGAUCUUCGGACCUCACGCUAUCAGAUGAGCCUAGGUCGGAUUAGCUAGUUGGUGGGGUAAAGGCCUACCAAGGCGACGAUCCGUAACUGGUCUGAGAGGAUGAUCAGUCACAAU